AAACGUCAGUACGUCACUGCGUACGCAGCCGUUCAAAAACGUUAGCGCCAGAAGGAAGCCCACACAACAACAAUGGAGGACUUAGCCAUGCCAGUGCUGUUACUGGCUUUGCAUGCCUUCAGUGUGAUCCAUGCACAUAUAAUCCUGCAUUUGGCAACUACCCGUCGUCGUCGAAGUCACAUUCAACGGCGACUACGUUUGAGAAAAAAGAUGUUCUUAAGGCAGAUUGUGAGGCAGAGAUCGUCUAUUGCCUGGGCACAUCCUCAAUCAUGCUACUGGUGGGACAUGAUUGUUCCGGAUUUCAGCGAGCAACAGUUUGUGCAAAACUUCCGAGUGUCCCGGGAGUCAUUCUAGUACAUCUACGAUCGGACCAGUGAAAUCCUGGCCAAAAAGGACACGACUUACCGCUUGUGUGUCCCAGUCCGAAAACGGAUCGCAAUUGCCAUCUGGAAACUGGCUACCGGCAGUGAAUACAGGACCAUCAGCCAUCUUUUCGGAGUAGGCCUGAGCACUGUGUUCAACUGUGUCCAGGAAUUCUGUAAUGCAGUCAUCCAGGUGCUUCUUCCUGUACACAUCACGACUCCUGAUGCCACAAAAUUAGAAAAAAUGGCUUGUUUUUUUAAAAGUCGUUGGAGAACCCCACAGUGUGUGGGUGCAAUAGAUAGCAGCCACAUUCCAAUAAUUGCACCAGAAAAAUAUCCCAGGGACUACUGCAACCGCAAAGGAUGGCAUUCAGUUGUUCUGCAGGCAGUUGUGGAUGGCAAAGGACUUUUCUGGGAUGUGUGUGUUGGCUUUCCAGGGAGUGUGUGCGAUGCUAGAGUGCUUAAACAGUCACAUUUGUGGACUAUUUUAAGUGAUGGACAGUUACUGGGGCAAAACAAAGUGACCAUCUCUGGCUGUGAUGUUGGACAUUACCUUAUUGGCGACCCAGCCUACCCCAUGCUGGAGUGGCUCAUGAAGCCGUUUUCUGACACUGACAGACUGACUCCUGAACAGCACACUUACAACUACAGGCUGAGCAGUGUGCAAUCUGUGGUACAAAUGGCUUUUGGGAGAUUAAAAGGACGAUGGAGAUGCCUCCUAAAAAGAAAUGACUGCAAGCUGGAGCUGAGCAAGAAAAUGGCGUUGGCCUGCUGUGUCCUUCACAACAUUUGUGAGGAACGUGGGGAUGACUUUGUUGAGGAGCUCCCAGGUAGACAUGUUAACAUUCAGCCUUCUGUCCAACCAGUACCUGACCAUGGUAAUCAGGAAGGGACUGACAUUAGGGCAGCUUUGAUGGAAUAUUUUAACCGUGCUGACGAGUGGCGUUUUGAGUGUGACUGAAGGCAUUCUGUUUUUUUUUUAUCUAAAUUGUCAUGAGACAUUCAUUGUUUGUUGUGAUAUAUCCACUACUGUUGUUACCAUUGUUUCAAUAAAUAGUUUGAGAUGAGGAAAUCACUAUUCCCUGCUUCUACUUAAAUGCUCUACUGUCAUGAUAUAUCACUAUAGCAUGAACUUUUUAUAUUUUCCAUAAAUAAUAUGUAGACACGUCAUGUAAGCACACUUCAAUUAUAUAUCUGCUAUAGUAGUGCAGUUUAUCUAACUAGCUUGCUGUAAUAGUAAGAAACAACAUAUGACACAAAACAUGCAUCUCAUCACAACUUUUUUGUUCACACAAACAGAAAACUUUAAAAAUACAACACAAUUUAAAAAUCAGAAGUAUGUACAAAAAAAGUAUAUUUUAGUGUUCAUUAUUGGACCAUCCAUUCCAUCAGUCCACCCAUGUGUUGCAUGUUUUGGAGCACAUCAGCUCGUUGUCUCUCCUGGCUUGUUCAAAGAACUGUUUGUCCGAGUGUCCAUGUACUUCAGCACAUCAGCGUUAGCACUCUGCUUCCUUUUUCCUGCAUAAAAGCACCUAAAAUACUAGUUGUUAGUAGUUAUUUGCUAUAUUCAUAAACACAGUUAAAGUAAAUGCUGCAAUUUUCGAUUUUAGGAUAGGCCAAAAGACAACAUAUUGAUCACGAGUUGGUGUUUGCAUAGUGUAAAGAAAUCUUACCAGAUUUGGUCUGGGAGGAGGACAUGGAAGCAGAUGAGCUGCAGGAUGGGACCGGUGAGCUGGAAAACAGAGGUCCUGGCAACUGCGUAUGGAUUCUAACAGUUGUCAAAUAGGGCUGUCAACUGUGUACCAACCUGACUUCUGCACAACACAACUGAUGGUCCAAACCCCAUUAAGAAGGCAAGAAAUUCCACAAAUGUACCUUGACAAGGCACACCUGUGAAGUAAAAACUUUUUCAGGUGACUACCUCACGAAGCUCACUGAGAAAAGGCCAAGGGUUUACAAAGCUGUCAUCGAAGCAAAGAGUGACUACUUUGAGGAAUAUAAAAUAUAAAACAUGCUUAGAGUUAUUUUACAAUUUCUUGUUUACUACAUAAUUUCAUAUAUAUUGUUUCAUAGUUUUGAUGCCUUCACUAUGUAUCUACAAUGUAGUAAGUAGUAAAAAAUAAAGAAAAAAACACUGAAUGAGAAGGUGUGUCUAAACGUUUGACUGGUAGUGUAUAUGUGCAUAAUGGUUAUCCAAGUAUGGUUGAAUCGAGGACAACUGGACUUAGCGGUAGAUUAAAGACAUUUCUCAUCUCAUCCAAGAGAUCUCCUCAGUUCUGACUGACUGGUGGGGUGUAUUUCACCUCUGUGGGGUCAUUAUGAUGCUGUUGAUAUCACGUGGCUCAAUACUGCUCCCGGCUAUUUUGAUGAUGACAGCCUUCAGAGUCACUGGAGUCACUUAAGGCCAAGUAUGAAUGUUAUCCAAAUAUCAGGGAUUCCCCAUCAGUCAGUCUUAAAGCAUCUAUUAUUAAAUCCAGCAGCACUUGAUUCAACCAAUUUUUUUGAUAAGUCAUGACCCGGAUGACUGAGAAUUUUCUCUAAGAUAUAAAAUCCAUCUUUAAAAACUUUACUGAUAUACUAUAUCCUAAAAAUAACAAAACCUUCAUGUAAAUGUUUCCUCGAAUUUUAGUGGACUAAAGUAUCUGAAUUAAUCUGCGUUUGGCUUAAUAUUGUGUCACAGUGUCUUCCAUGCCUAACCCCCACGAGAAAAUGUUUUCUGAGUUCAAGCAAACUAUUUUGAUCAAUUUUAACAAGAGACACCAUGUCACUGGGACACUCGUGUGUAAAACUUCAGAAAACUUAGCCUGAUUUGAUCAGCAGAGGGCAGCAAAAUACCACGACUGCUCAGCAGAGGAGGCGACAUUAUGACAGGGCCUGAGGACACAGGAGGUCACUGACAGAUUCAGAUAUCAGAAUGAACUCUCUUGAGAUGCAGGAAAUUUUGAUUUCAUUUUGCAGAGGUCGGGUGGAACAUAUGAACGCUAUUCUUUGUAGAUAUUAGGCCUAAGCUAAGUGUAUUUUUUUCAGUGAGUUAUUUAUUUAAAAACACAAGUGUUAUAGUUACUGAACAUGACAAACAUUUAAAUAUUCUGUUUAUAUAUUCUGCUUUUGUUGGAGCAUGCGCUUCCAAUAAUUAGUGCCAGUAUAGUCACAACACAAGUAAUAAAACAAUGAUAAUGUCAUUUGUCAAUAAAGUUAAGUUGUUAACCAUUACAACCUAAGAGAUUCAUCUUUCUUUGUUUUAUUUUUUCUGUUUUUUUUUUUUUU